CCUACGGGAGGCAGCAGUGGGGAAUAUUGCGCAAUGGGCGAAAGCCUGACGCAGCGACGCCGCGUGAGGGAUGAAGGUCUUCGGAUCGUAAACCUCUGUCAGUAGGGAAGAACGGUCACUGUGCUAAUCAGCAGUGAAUUGACGGUACCUGCAAAGGAAGCACCGGCUAACUCCGUGCCAGCAGCCGCGGUAAUACGGAGGGUUCGUGCGUUAAUCGGAAUUAUUGGGCGUAAAGCGCUCGUAGGCGGUAUGUCAAGUCAAGGGUGAAAUCCCCGGGCCCAACGUGAGAACUGCCUUGGAAACUGGCAAACUGGAGUGUGUGAGAGGAUGGUGGAAUUCCAGGUGUAGGAGUGAAAUCCGUAGAUAUCUGGAGGAACAUCAGUGGCGAAGGCGACUAUCUGGCACAUAACUGACGCUGAGGAGCGAAAGCGUGGGUAGCAAACAGGAUUAGAUACCCUUGUAGUC
rnacentral:rRNA from 1 species